rnacentral:rRNA from 1 species
UACGUAGGGACCGAGCGUUGUCCGGAAUCAUUGGGCGUAAAGAGCGUGUAGGCGGCUUGCUAAGUCUUGCGUGAAAUCUCGGGGCUCAACCCCCGAGCGGUCGUGGGAAACUGGCAGGCUAGAGUGCGGGAGAGGAGAAUGGAAUUCCUGGUGUAGUGGUGAAAUGCGUAGAUAUCGGGAGGAACACCAGUGGCGAAGGCGACUUCCUGGC